rnacentral:rRNA from 1 species
GAUUAUGACGUACUUGUACUGAUUGAGAUUUUAACACGAAGUGAGUGGCGAACGGGUGAGUAACACGUGGGUAACCUGCCCAGAAGUAGGGGAUAACACCUGGAAACAGAUGCUAAUACCGUAUAACAGAGAAAACCGCAUGGUUUUCUUUUAAAAGAUGGCUCUGCUAUCACUUCUGGAUGGACCCGCGGCGUAUUAGCUAGUUGGUGAGGUAAAGGCUCACCAAGGCAGUGAUACGUAGCCGACCUGAGAGGGUAAUCGGCCACAUUGGGACUGAGACACGGCCCAGACUCCUACGGGAGGCAGCAGUAGGGAAUCUUCCACAAUGGACGCAAGUCUGAUGGAGCAACGCCGCGUGAGUGAAGAAGGGUUUCGGCUCGUAAAGCUCUGUUGUUAAAGAAGAACGUGGGUAAGAGUAACUGUUUACCCAGUGACGGUAUUUAACCAGAAAGCCACGGCUAACUACGUGCCAGCAGCCGCGGUAAUACGUAGGUGGCAGCGUUAUCCGGAUUUAUUGGGCGUAAAGCGAGCGCAGGCGGUCUUUUAAGUCUAAUGUGAAAGCCUUCGGCUCAACCGAAGAAGUGCAUUGGAAACUGGGAGACUUGAGUGCAGAAGAGGACAGUGGAACUCCAUGUGUAGCGGUGAAAUGCGUAGAUAUAUGGAAGAACACCAGUGGCGAAGGCGGCUGUCUGGUCUGCAACUGACGCUGAGGCUCGAAAGCAUGGGUAGCGAACAGGAUUAGAUACCCUGGUAGUCCAUGCCGUAAACGAUGAUUACUAAGUGUUGGAGGGUUUCCGCCCUUCAGUGCUGCAGCUAACGCAUUAAGUAAUCCGCCUGGGGAGUACGACCGCAAGGUUGAAACUCAAAAGAAUUGACGGGGGCCCGCACAAGCGGUGGAGCAUGUGGUUUAAUUCGAAGCUACGCGAAGAACCUUACCAGGUCUUGACAUCUCUGACAGUCUAAGAGAUUAGAGGUUCCCUUCGGGGACAGAAUGACAGGUGGUGCAUGGUUGUCGUCAGCUCGUGUCGUGAGAUGUUGGGUUAAGUCCCGCAACGAGCGCAACCCUUAUUACUAGUUGCCAGCAUUAAGUUGGGCACUCUAGUGAGACUGCCGGUGACAAACCGGAGGAAGGUGGGGACGACGUCAAAUCAUCAUGCCCCUUAUGACCUGGGCUACACACGUGCUACAAUGGAUGGUACAACGAGUCGCGAGACCGCGAGGUUAAGCUAAUCUCUUAAAACCAUUCUCAGUUCGGACUGUAGGCUGCAACUCGCCUACACGAAGUCGGAAUCGCUAGUAAUCGCGGAUCAGCAUGCCGCGGUGAAUACGUUCCCGGGCCUUGUACACACCGCCCGUCACACCAUGAGAGUUUGUAACACCCAAAG